AAUCAACGCUGGCGGCGUGCCUCAGACAUGCAAGUCGAACGAUUAAGACUUCCUUCGGGAAGUGCAUAAAGUGGCGCACGGGUGAGUAACACGUAAGUAAUCUACCCUCGAGUGGGGAAUAACGUUCGGAAACGGACGCUAAUACCGCAUAACGCAGCGGCACCGCAAGGUGACAGUUGUUAAAGGAGCAAUCCGCUUGAGGAGGAGCUUGCGGCAGAUUAGCUAGUUGGUAAGGGUAAUGGCUUACCAAGGCUACGAUCUGUAUCCGGUCUAAGAGGACGGUCGGACACACUGACACUGAAUAACGGGUCAGACUCCUACGGGAGGCAGCAGUCGGGAAUUUUGGGCAAUGGGCGAAAGCCUGACCCAGCAACGCCGCGUGAAGGAUGAAGUAUUUCGGUAUGUAAACUUCGAAAGAAUAGGAAGAAUAAAUGACGGUACUAUUUAUAAGCUCCGGCUAACUACGUG
rnacentral:rRNA from 1 species